rnacentral:rRNA from 1 species
UACGUAGGUGGCAAGCGUUGUCCGGAUUUACUGGGCGUAAAGGGCGUGCAGGCGGUUUGUUAAGUGCAGAGUGAAAGCUCCCGGCUCAACUGGGAGAGGUCUUUGCAUACUGGCAAACUCGAGGGAGGCAGAGGAAAGUGGAAUUCCCGGUGUAGUGGUGAUAUGCGUAGAUAUCAGGAAGAACACCAAUGGCGAAGGCAGCUCUCUGGGACGGUACUGACGCUGAGACGCGAAAGCGUGGGGAGCGAACAGG